GCGCCCUUAGCUUAGUUGGAUAGAGCAACGACCUUCUAAGUCGUGGGCCGCAGGUUCGAAUCCUGCAGGGCGCGCCA
rnacentral:tRNA from 1 species